rnacentral:tRNA from 1 species
GGACGGUUAGCUCAGCUGGGAGAGCAUCGGCCUUACAAGCCGAGGGUCACAGGUUCGAUCCCUGUACUGUCCA